GGGUAAGAAAAUAAGGCCCAAGCUUGCAGCCAAUGACCCGGGUCUCCCAUGUCCGAAGCCGUAUCCACACACUAAGUUCCUAGGUCAGAUGACUUCACUCCCUCACGUCCAAAACGCUCUGACACGCUCCGAUCAAACGAUGGCUCCACCAUGGGUUUCCACUGAGGACGUGAUUCUCCUUUGUCUUCAUCACUUUGCGCGCAACCACACCGACCGCCAUGGAAAGAUUUGAGAGCUCAUUUUCACCAUAUCACGAAGAAUCAAGAACAAAUCCAAUCCGUAUUCAAAUUUUCCACAACAAACACGAUGGCUUAAGCAACACGCUUAUUCGAUCUUUGUUCUUCUGCUCUCCUCGCGUCAUUGUGGUAGAAGACGAAGAAGACGAUCCGCGUUCGCUCGUAACGUCGGGGAUGGAAUUCGACAUUCCCUCGUAUGUGUGGCAUUGCAGAUUGAGGAUACGAGGACGAGUCGUAGUCUUUUCGAUUGAACCGCGACGACCAAGAUUCGAUGAGGUUGAAGGUUGAUUUUUUUGAUAGUGGAGAUUGAAGCUUCUUGGUUGUGAAGAAUGAUGCAGCUUUUGGUUGAAGAAGAAAAUUGGAGCUUUUGGUUGAACCAGGUGAAAGAAUCAAAACUCUGUUGAAGAUGAUGGUAUAGGUUGAAGAUGAAGGCUGAAUCGGAUUUCAGGUGUGAAGAAGAAGAAGAAAUCAAGGGUGAAUUGAAUUUCAGAUGUGAAGAAGAAGAAGAAAUGAAGGUUGAAUUGAAUUUCAGAUGUGAAGAAGAAUAACUCAAGGGUGAAUUUGAGGUUUGACGACAUGACAGAACAGGUUCCAACAUAGGAGAAACACAAUUAAGUAUGUGAACCGGGAUAAGACAAAGCAGGUCAGUGCCACCGUCAGACUGUCAUCAUGGAUUCACCAAUUUCUUCUCGAAGAUACAUGCACUGAUUUGGGGAGGGCUUUGUAAUUUGUUUUUUCUUUUAUAUAGUGCCGAACUCUUAUGAACUUGUAACUCAAAAUGUAAUGCGAACCAACACUUUUUUCAAUUCAAAUGCAUAUGUACCUGCCAAAAUUCCCAGACUCAAUGUAAUGCAAACCAAUGUUUUUUUUUCAAA